rnacentral:rRNA from 1 species
UACGUAGGGUGCGAGCGUUGUCCGGAAUUAUUGGGCGUAAAGAGCUCGUAGGCGGCUUGUCGCGUCGGAUGUGAAAGCCCGGGGCUUAACUCCGGGUCUGCAUUCGAUACGGGCAGGCUAGAGUUCGGUAGGGGAGAUCGGAAUUCCUGGUGUAGCGGUGAAAUGCGCAGAGAUCGGGAGGAACACCCGUAGCGAAGGCGGCACUCUGGGCCGGUACUGACGCUGAGGAGCGAAAGCGUGGGGAGCAAACAGG